GUGCUUGCUUCGGCAGCACAUAUACUAAAAUUGGAGCAAUACAGUGAAGGUUAGCAUGGCCCCUUUGCAAGGAUGACACGCAAAUUCGUAGAGUGUUCCAUAUUUUU
ensembl:snRNA U6 U6 spliceosomal RNA